CCCUACCAGGACCCGGGCCAGGGAGAAGCCUGCAACCAAGGGAGAAGAGCUGGCUCAGUCAGAUGUAGAAUCUUCCCAGUCUGCUCAAGGCAUUAUCAACCAAAUAGUUGCAUCCGAAACAUCAGAUCUGUUAAUUAAAAGAAAAGAAGG